GGCGGGGUAGCCAAGUGGGAAGGCCGAGGUCUGCAAAACCUCUAUGAGUGGGUUCGACUCCCACCCCCGCCUCCA
rnacentral:tRNA from 1 species